rnacentral:rRNA from 1 species
UACGAAGGGGGCUAGCGUUGCUCGGAAUCACUGGGCGUAAAGCGCACGUAGGCGGAUUGCUAAGUCAGGGGUGAAAUCCUGGAGCUCAACUCCAGAACUGCCUUUGAUACUGGCGAUCUUGAGUCCGGGAGAGGUGAGUGGAACUGUGAGUGUAGAGGUGAAAUUCGUAGAUAUUCGCAAGAACACCAGUGGCGAAGGCGGCUCACUGGCCCGGUACUGACGCUGAGGUGCGAAAGCGUGGGGAGCAAACAGG